rnacentral:rRNA from 1 species
GGGCCCGCACAAGCGGUGGAGCAUGUGGUUUAAUUCGAUGAUACGCGAGGAACCUUACCAGGGCUUAAAUGUAACGGGACAGAUCUAGAGAUAGAUCCUUCUUCGGACUCAUUACAAGGUGCUGCAUGGUUGUCGUCAGCUCGUGCCGUGAGGUGUCAGGUUAAGUCCUAUAACGAGCGCAACCCCAUCGUUAGUUGCCAACGAGUAAUGUCGGGAACUCUAACGAAACUGCCGGUGCAAACCGUGAGGAAGGUGGGGAGCGUCAAAUCAUCACGGCCUUACGUCCUGGCUACACACGUGCUACAAUGGUCGGUACAGAGAGCAGCCACUACGCGAGUAGGAGCA